GAAUACUUUUGAUAUGAAGAUCAAUGGUACACCAAGCUAUGUACGCUCAUGUUGCGAAGCUAGUUUGAAACGUCUUGGAGUUGAAUACAUUGAUCUCUAUUAUCAGCAUAGAGUGGACACAACAGUCUCUAUAGAAGACACAAUGGGUGAACUUAAGAAAUUGGUGAAAGAGG